CAGUAGCCGCGGUAAUACAGAGGGUGCGAGCGUUAAUCGGAUUUACUGGGCGUAAAGCGUGCGUAGGCGGCUUCUUAAGUCGGAUGUGAAAUCCCUGAGCUUAACUUAGGAAUUGCAUUCGAUACUGGGAAGCUAGAGUAUGGGAGAGGAUGGUAGAAUUCCAGGUGUAGCGGUGAAAUGCGUAGAGAUCUGGAGGAAUACCGAUGGCGAAGGCAGCCAUCUGGCCUAAUACUGACGCUCAUGCACGAAAGCGUGGGGAGCAAACAGGAUUAGAUACCCCCGUAGUCCCUGUCUCUUAUAC
rnacentral:rRNA from 1 species